AAUUUUCAUGUAUGGGCCCAAACGUAAGACAAUGGUGCAUGUGAAAUGUUUUAUUGCACUUGGCAAUUGCUGAACCAAAAAUGGCUUCGGAUUUUAGGAGCCAAAUUAUUUUCUUCUGGUUUCUAUAAUGAGAAGGGACCAACCAGGAGAAAAGGGAAAGCUUUUUCUCUCCCCUCAGCUACAUAUCAGAGUCAGUAAAAGUAUGCUUGGAAAACCUGAAAGUGGAGGAAAGGCUUUCUUCUUUAAACAUGCCAGCAAUUUUAUAACAGAAACUAUUAACAAUAGAGAAUACAACGCUUUCUUUUGGCGCUGCUUUGAGCUUCCAUUCGGUAAAAAACAUAAAAGGGCUAAACAACAAAAUAGAAGAGCCAGAGACAGAGUUUAAUGUGUAGCAGAUAAAUUAAAGUAUUGCUACGUGUGGGGCUGAUGCACUGGAACUUUGCAGAGGGUAACUAGGAGGAUUCUGAUCAGCUAAUAUGUAAAUGCAUCGAGUUUUUGGCCUGGCGGAAUCUAUGGUUGGGUCAAGUAUCUUUGAUCCCCCAUGUGCUGCUUUGGACAUAAGUCGUGGCCUCAAAUUUGUACUUUUAUGUUGGCCUCCAAGAAAAGCAUCCCCCAUCCCUCUCAUUCUGAGAAUUGAUUAUUCACUAAUGACAAGGUGUGUUCAUUGCAAAUUUCUACUUUGAAAUUGACAAGUCCUUUCUACUUUGAAAUUCAGUGCAUAUGCACCAAUAUUGGCUUUUAGAUUGCCUUGGUUCUUUCUCAUGGAAACCCAAGUUUUCAUUUUGGAUUCUUAUUGCCAUUUUCAAAAGAUUUUACCUUAACCUGUUUCAUCUAUAUCAUCAAACAGCAAAGAAUGCCAUUAUCAGGUAAAAGUAGG
rnacentral:lncRNA from 1 species